rnacentral:rRNA from 1 species
UAUCUCUGUAGAGUCUGCAUAUCAAUAAGCGGAGGAAAAGAAACUAACAAGGAUUCCCUUAGUAACGGCGAGUGAAGCGGGAAGAGCUCAAAUUUGAAAUCUUCAAGGUUCUACCUUGACGAAUUGUAGUUUAAAGAAGUGUUUUCUGUUAGAUGAGUAGCAAAAGCUUCCUUGGAAUGGGACAUCAUAGAGGGUGAGAAUCCCGUAUUUGGUUAUUCAUUCUAGCUUUGUGAUACACUUUCAGAGAGUCGGAUUGUUUGGGAAUGCAGUCCAAAAUGGGUGGUAAAUUUCAUCUAAAGCUAAAUAUUGGCGAGAGACCGAUAGCGAACAAGUACCGUGAGGGAAAGAUGAAAAGAACUUUGAAAAGAGAGUUAAACAGUACGUGAAAUUGUCAAAAGGGAAGCGUUUGACACCAGUGCUGUUUUUUCCGAAAAUCAAUUACGAAUGGCUUGAUUCUGUGUUGUAUUGACCUUAUCAGCUUUCUUCACUUUUUUCGAGUCUUUCUUAAUGCACUUUUCGGUUAACAAGUCAACAUCAAUUUCUUUUGUUGUAAAAGAGUAUUCGGAAGGUGGCUUUCUUUUCGGAGAAAGUGUUUAUAGCCCUAUACUUCUACAAUCGGAGAGAUUGAGGUCUGCAGCGUAGAUCCUUCGGGGUUAGAUACACUUGUGCUAAGUUGUAGCUUUUCAUAGACAACUUGUUGACUAUGUUUAGUCAUGCGGCUUACUCGCUUGUGCUAUUUUACCUACGCUUAGGAUGUUGACGAGACUGUCGAUCUC